rnacentral:rRNA from 1 species
CGGCAUGCCUCAUACAUGCAAGUCGAACGAAGUCUUCGGACUUAGUGGCGCACGGGUGAGUAACAUGUGGGAAUCUACCUAAAGGUUCGGAAUAACUGCGGGAAACUGUAGCUAAUACCGGAUGUGUCUGUAAAGAGAAAGAUUUAUCGCCUUUAGAUGAGCCCGCACUAGAUUAGCUAGUUGGUGAGGUAACUGCUCCACCAAGGCUACGAUCUAUAGCUGAUUUGAGAGGAUGAUCAGCCACACUGGGACUGAGACACGGCCCAGACUCCUACGGGAGGCAGCAGUAGGGAAUAUUGGACAAUGGGGGAAACCCUGAUCCAGCAAUGCCGCGUGAGUGAAGAAGGCCUUAGGGUUGUAAAACUCUUUCAUCAACGAUGAUAAUGACAUUAAUUGAAGAAGAAGCUCCGGCUAACUUCGUGCCAGCAGCCGCGGUAAUACGAAGGGGGCUAGCGUUGUUCGGAAUCACUGGGCGUAAAGCGUAUGUAGGCGGAUCAAAAAGUUAGAUGUGAAAUCCCUGGGCUCAACCCAGGAACUGCAUUUAAAACUAGUGAUCUAGAAUUUGGUAAGGGUUAGUAGAAUUUCCAGUGUAGAGGUGAAAUUCGUAGAUAUUGGAAAGAAUACCAGAAGCGAAGGCGACUAACUAGGCCAUUUUUGACGCUGAGAUACGAAAGCGUGGGUAGCAAACAGGAUUAGAUACCCUGGUAGUCCACGCAGUAAACGAUGAGUGCUAGUCGCUGGUACAAUUGUAUCAGUGUCGAAGCUAACGCAUUAAGCACUCCGCCUGGGAAGUACGGU